rnacentral:rRNA from 1 species
UACGGAAGGUCCGGGCGUUAUCCGGAUUUAUUGGGUUUAAAGGGAGCGCAGGCGGCAUGUUAAGCGUGACGUGAAAUGGUGCGGCUCAACCGCAGCAGUGCGUCGCGAACUGGCGUGCUUGAGUGAGUGCGACGUCAGCGGAAUUCGUGGUGUAGCGGUGAAAUGCUUAGAUAUCACGAAGAACUCCGAUUGCGAAGGCAGCUGACGAGUCCUUUACUGACGCUAAAGCUCGAAGGUGCGGGUAU